UACGUAGGUGGCGAGCGUUAUCCGGAUUUAUUGGGCGUAAAGGGAACGCAGGCGGUCUUUUAAGUCUGAUGUGAAAGCCUUCGGCUUAACCGGAGUAGUGCAUUGGAAACUGGGAGACUUGAGUGCAGAAGAGGAGAGUGGAACUCCAUGUGUAGCGGUGAAAUGCGUAGAUAUAUGGAAGAACACCAGUGGCGAAAGCGGCUCUCUGGUCUGUAACUGACGCUGAGGCUCGAAAGCGUGGGUAGCAAACAGG
rnacentral:rRNA from 1 species